rnacentral:misc_RNA from 1 species
GAUGAAGAACGUAGCGAAAUGCGAUACUUGGUGUGAAUUGCAGAAUCCCGUGAACCAUCGAGUCUUUGAACGCAAGUUGCGCCCGAAGCCACUAGGCCGAGGGCACGCCUGCCUGGGCGUCACACGUCGUUGCCCCCCCCCCAUCUACUCCUUCGGGAUUGCGGGGGGCGGAUGAUGGCCUCCCGUGCGCCUAGCCGCGCGGUUGGCAUAAAUACCAAGUCCUCGGCGACGCACGCCACGACAAUCGGUGGUUGCGAAACCUCGGUUGCCCGUCGUGUGCGUUCGUCGCGCAUCGAGGGCUCGAAAAAAUGCUCGGCUCCGGCUCGGCUUUCAACGCGACCCCAGGUCAGGCGGGGUUACCCGCUGAAUUUAAGCAUAUCAAUAACGGAGGA